rnacentral:rRNA from 1 species
GAUGAACGCUGGCGGCGUGCCUAAUACAUGCCAGUCGAGCGAACGGACGAGGAGCUUGUUCCUCUGAUGUUAGCGGCGGACGGGUGAGUAACACGUGGAUAACCUACCUAUAAGACUGGGAUAACUUCGGGAAACCGGAGCUAAUACCGGAUAAUAUUUUGAACCGCAUGGUUCAAAAGUGAAAGACGGUCUUGCUGUCACUUAUAGAUGGAUCCGCGCUGCAUUAGCUAGUUGGUAAGGUAACGGCUUACCAAGGCAACGAUGCAUAGCCGACCUGAGAGGGUGAUCGGCCACACUGGAACUGAGACACGGUCCAGACUCCUACGGGAGGCAGCAGUAGGGAAUCUUCCGCAAUGGGCGAAAGCCUGACGGAGCAACGCCGCGUGAGUGAUGAAGGUCUUCGGAUCGUAAAACUCUGUUAUUAGGGAAGAACAUAUGUGUAAGUAACUGUGCACAUCUUGACGGUACCUAAUCAGAAAGCCACGGCUAACUACGUG